UGACCCUUUGCCUUAGGAUUAGUCAGUUCUAUUUCUCGAUGGAGGCAAGGGAUAUAACUCAGCGGUAGAGUGUCACCUUGACGUGGUGGAAGUUAUCAGUUCAAGCCUGAUUAUCCUAAACCCAAUGCAAGUUUUUCUAUUUGUAUGUUGUGAUUGAAUAAUAAUUGAGAAUGGAGAAAUAUCUGAAGCUCUAUAGCUACCAUUACCUGAUAAAUGGAUUCGUCGUGCUGGUUACCCAACAACAAGGUGUACACAGUUUUUGGGUCUGCCACAGGGAGCAUGGUUUCAAGAUGGUGGGUUCGAGACUGCUAGAGAAGGAGUUGUUAUAGGAUGUUUGGGAAUGAUUUCCUUGAAGACAAGCUAAAUCCUUUCCUCAAGUCAGAUCUUGAACCAUGAAGACACACUCUAAAAGCUGAGUUUAGAUCACAUCAAUGGCAUGGAGGUAUAAAACUUUCUUCCUUUAUUUACUACAAUUAAACUCUGCGAUCAAUGGAUUUAAGUGUUUGGUUGAGUUAUUCUCUUAAUUCUAAUUAAACACAUUUUGUAAGUUUUGGAUUAUUCAAGGGCUGUGAAGUCUUUAUGCAGCAAAAAAACUCUAAAAUGAGUUUGGCAACUGGGUUGCUAAGGCUAUAUAUGAAAUGAUUUUUUUUUUAAUUAGCAUAAGGUUAUCUAUUUUUUUUAUACCUUGCAAUUUUUAUGAUAACCUUAGAUUGUUUCUUAGUUCAUUUUAUUGGAUUUUUGGUCAUUUUAUGCCCCUCCAGCUUUGCCUUGGUUUUGUGCCACCUGGCCGCCAUGUGUCUUGCUUUCAACUUUUGUUCUGCUGCCAACUCCACGUAUCAUUCUCAAACUGGCGGAUUUCAACUUCUGUUUAAUUUUGCUUGAUAAUCUGUCUCAAAUCCAAAAUCAUUCUCUUUCCUCCGUUUAUCUCUUUCUCUUUUUUUCGGAAACUGAAAUUUCGCCGGAAUGCUAAAGGCACCCGCUUUUCGCAAUGCAUUCUCUCUUCUUCUUCUUCAUUUGCUGCUCACUUUGGUCUCUACACGAGGAUCUCACAAAACCACUUGGAACACUCUCACCAGUUCGUGUUGUUUCCUUUCACUCUUUUUUCUAUUCCUUUUGUGUUUUCUUUGUUGAGUUUGUGUUAAUU